rnacentral:rRNA from 1 species
GAACGCUAGCGGCAGGCCUAAUACAUGCAAGUCGAACGGGAUCCAAUUUUUAGCUUGCUAAAGAUUGGUGAGAGUGGCGCACGGGUGCGUAACGCGUGAGCAACCUACCCAUAUCAGGGGGAUAGCCCGAAGAAAUUCGGAUUAACACCGCAUAAGACUACGAGAUGGCAUCAUCAAGUAGUUAAAUAUUUAUAGGAUAUGGAUGGGCUCGCGUGACAUUAGCUAGUUGGUGAGGUAACGGCUCACCAAGGCGACGAUGUCUAGGGGCUCUGAGAGGAGAAUCCCCCACACUGGUACUGAGACACGGACCAGACUCCUACGGGAGGCAGCAGUAAGGAAUAUUGGUCAAUGGACGGAAGUCUGAACCAGCCAUGCCGCGUGCAGGAUGACCGCCCUAUGGGUUGUAAACUGCUUUUGUCGAGGAAUAAACCUAUCUACGUGUAGAUAGCUGAAUGUACUCGAAGAAUAAGGAUCGGCUAACUCCGUGCCAGCAGCCGCGGUAAUACGGAGGAUCCGAGCGUUAUCCGGAUUUAUUGGGUUUAAAGGGUGCGUAGGCGGCACUUUAAGUCAGGGGUGAAAGACGGCAGCUUAACUGUCGCAGUGCCUUUGAUACUGAAGUGCUUGAAUGCGGUUGAAGACGGCGGAAUGAGACAAGUAGCGGUGAAAUGCAUAGAUAUGUCUCAGAACACCGAUUGCGAAGGCAGCUGUCUAAGCCGUUAUUGACGCUGAUGCACGAAAGCGUGGGGAUCGAACAGGAUUAGAUACCCUGGUAGUCCACGCCCUAAACGAUGAUAACUCGAUGUUUGCGAUAUACCGUAAGCGUCCAAGCGAAAGCGUUAAGUUAUCCACCUGGGGAAGUACGCCCGCAAGGGG